CCUUGCCCCUCAGUGUCAGUUCUCUCAAUUCCACCAGGGCGUUCCCAGCCAGGCUCCACCACUGACAGAGAUGAGCCUGAGCAAAAAGAUUUGGAUCCCAACCAAGACUUUGACCCCAAAGAAUGGGGGUGCUGGGUUCCAAGGUUUUGGUUCAGGCCCAUCUCUAGUUGAUACAGUGAUAACAACAGAGCAAGGUGGUGCGGGCUGUCAUCAAAGAACCUGAUCUUCCAAUAAAAUUGCUGUGAUCCCGACUCGGAGCAAUGGGAUGGGAAGUUCAAUUCCUGCCCAGAUUUCCAGGACGAGAUCCGGCUUAUAUUCCAGGUCAUAAUUGAAAGAGAAUAGUCUUGCAGACCAUCUAGCAAUACGAUAUCCUGCUCUUCCCAGUCCUUUCAUGGUGAGCAACGUCGUCAAAGGGCUGUGGUCUGUGCGCAACUUGAACAUGUGGCCCCACAGAUGAAUUGGAAGCAAUUUGCUCAAGAGUCACUGGUAUAAAGAAAAGGGGUGAAACUGAAAACAAUAUUUCAGAGAAGAAAAGUCAACACACGACGAGGCUUUUCAGAAUAAAACUGGAAACUUUCUAAAUUAAAAGAGAAAAUAAAACAUGUUCCUACAGUUACAGUCUUACAGAAUUACCAUGGAAAUGAAUCAGCCCAGGCACAAAAUAUACUCAGACUUCCUUUACCGUGAUAAUGAGAAAAUGAACGAUAGUUAACUCACUGGUAUGG